GAUGAACGCUGGCGGCGUGCCUAAUACAUGCAAGUCGAGCGAACGGACGAGAAGCUUGCUUCUCUGAUGUUAGCGGCGGACGGGUGAGUAACACGUGGAUAACCUACCUAUAAGACUGGGAUAACUUCGGGAAACCGGAGCUAAUACCGGAUAAUAUUUUGAACCGCAUGGUUCAAAAGUGAAAGACGGUCUUGCUGUCACUUAUAGAUGGAUCCGCGCUGCAUUAGCUAGUUGGUAAGGUAACGGCUUACCAAGGCAACGAUGCAUAGCCGACCUGAGAGGGUGAUCGGCCACACUGGAACUGAGACACGGUCCAGACUCCUACGGGAGGCAGCAGUAGGGAAUCUUCCGCAAUGGGCGAAAGCCUGACGGAGCAACGCCGCGUGAGUGAUGAAGGUCUUCGGAUCGUAAAACUCUGUUAUUAGGGAAGAACAUAUGUGUAAGUAACUGUGCACAUCUUGACGGUACCUAAUCAGAAAGCCACGGCUAACUACGUGCCAGCAGCCGCGGUAAUACGUAGGUGGCAAGCGUUAUCCGGAAUUAUUGGGCGUAAAGCGCGCGUAGGCGGUUUUUUAAGUCUGAUGUGAAAGCCCACGGCUCAACCGUGGAGGGUCAUUGGAAACUGGAAAACUUGAGUGCAGAAGAGGAAAGUGGAAUUCCAUGUGUAGCGGUGAAAUGCGCAGAGAUAUGGAGGAACACCAGUGGCGAAGGCGACUUUCUGGUCUGUAACUGACGCUGAUGUGCGAAAGCGUGGGGAUCAAACAGGAUUCGAUACCCUGGUAGUCCACGCCGUAAACGAUGAGUGCUAAGUGUUAGGGGGUUUCCGCCCCUUAGUGCUGCAGCUAACGCAUUAAGCACUCCGCCUGGGGAGUACGACCGCAAGGUUGAAACUCAAAGGAAUUGACGGGGACCCGCACAAGCGGUGGAGCAUGUGGUUUAAUUCGAAGCAACGCGAAGAACCUUACCAAAUCUUGACAUCCUUUGACAACUCUAGAGAUAGAGCCUUCCCCUUCGGGGGACAAAGUGACAGGUGGUGCAUGGUUGUCGUCAGCUCGUGUCGUGAGAUGUUGGGUUAAGUCCCGCAACGAGCGCAACCCUUAAGCUUAGUUGCCAUCAUUAAGUUGGGCACUCUAAGUUGACUGCCGGUGACAAACCGGAGGAAGGUGGGGAUGACGUCAAAUCAUCAUGCCCCUUAUGAUUUGGGCUACACACGUGCUACAAUGGACAAUACAAAGGGCAGCGAAACCGCGAGGUCAAGCAAAUCCCAUAAAGUUGUUCUCAGUUCGGAUUGUAGUCUGCAACUCGACUACAUGAAGCUGGAAUCGCUAGUAAUCGUAGAUCAGCAUGCUACGGUGAAUACGUUCCCGGGUCU
rnacentral:rRNA from 1 species